GUGCUUGCUUUGGUAUCACAUACACUAACAUUGGAAAGAUACAGAGAAGAUCAGCAGGGCGCCUGCGCAAGGAUGACAUGCAAAUUCAUGAAGCGUUCCGUAUCAAA
ensembl:snRNA U6 U6 spliceosomal RNA